GAUUUCUCAUUUGUUUUGAGAAUUAGAUAUAAGGUGUUAAUUAUAUGAUAAUGUUUCUACUUUCUUGGGAGGAAACUGAUUGAACAUACAUGUUUAAACCAUAAAACAAUAAUGGACUUGUCAAGAAAAGUGAUAUGAAAGUUGUAGCUUUGGAUGCAUACUUUCUCAAAUGAAGGACAUUUUACAAAACCCUGGUAUUAUUUAUCAAAGACUAUAGGUUAAUGUUGGAAUAAGAUGCAGUUGCGCAAGGGGAAGAACCAAAUGACUGAUUUUAGUAAUGAUUUUUAUUUUAAUUUAUUAUUAUUAUUUUGGAAUGAUGAUGCUUGAUUUUUACUAGUAAUAAUUUUUUUUUCCGUUUGUUGUUUGACCAAGGCUCUGUUUAUAUAUUCUUACAUUUGGAGCUCUUCUCCUCUCUUAAUUUUGAUUUAUUAAGUCUAUAGAAUUCUUGCAGUAUGUCUUAAACCCCAAUUUCAACCUUUUUUUACUCCUUUUGAAACCUGGGCAGUUGGGAUUUUAUCUAUGCGGAAUAUGUGAUGGUGGCUGGAUCUCACUAUCGAUCAGUCCUUCAGCAGAUUGCUGAAGAUUAUUCCCAUAGCGAGUUUGUAAUCCGUCUACCUGGGUACAGCCCAAUGCCUGCAUUUUAUGGUGUUAUUGAUGUACCCCUUGUCAUGACGAGAUUACACAAAUCUAGAGAAGAGGUGUGAUUUAGAAC